rnacentral:piRNA from 1 species
UAUGCACUCUCAGGGGCAGCGCCCACCUGC